rnacentral:rRNA from 1 species
AAAUGGGCCCGCCCAAAAACGUCAGGUCGAGGUGUAGCGCACGAGGUGGGAAGAAAUGGGCUACAUUUUCUAUAAAAUAGAAUAUUACGAAUGGCAUUCUGAAAACUAAUGCCUGAAGGUGGAUUUAGUAGUAAAAAGCAAAUAGAGCGUUCUUUUGAAUUAGGCUCUGAGACGCGCACACACCGCCCGUCACUCUCCCCCGCACCAACACCUAAACUUAACAUCCAUAAUAACACAAC